rnacentral:misc_RNA from 1 species
AACCAUAGAAACCUGCGGAGUACCUGCGGAGGGAUCAUUACCGAGUUUACAACUCCCAAACCCCUGUGAACAUACCUAUACGUUGCCUCGGCGGAUCAGCCCGCGCCCCGUAAAAAGGGACGGCCCGCCCGAGGACCCCUAAACUCUGUUUUUAGUGGAACUUCUGAGUAAAACAAACAAAUAAAUCAAAACUUUCAACAAUGGAUCU